GUCUUUGUGGUGUAGUGGUUAGCGCGUCUGACUUUGACUCAGGAGAUCACGGGUUCGAUUCCCGACAAGGCCG